UACGGAGGGAGCUAGCGUUGUUCGGAAUUACUGGGCGUAAAGCGCGCGUAGGCGGUUACUCAAGUCAGAGGUGAAAGCCCGGGGCUCAACCCCGGAACUGCCUUUGAAACUAGGUGACUAGAAUCUUGGAGAGGUCAGUGGAAUUCCGAGUGUAGAGGUGAAAUUCGUAGAUAUUCGGAAGAACAUCAGUGGCGAAGGCGACUGACUGGACAAGUAUUGACGCUGAGGUGCGAAAGCGUGGGGAGCAAACAGG
rnacentral:rRNA from 1 species